UGCAUUUUCAGUCUGCAGCCUUUAUAAGGAUAUUGCUCCACUGGGAUUAGAAGAAAAUUAUUAGAGGAAAAUAUCAGGUUCAGUCACCGUGCUGUGAAUAUUAUUUCUAGACAGGUCUGUUCUUCAUUUCAUGUUUCCUUCAAAAUGACCUGAAAAUGACCUGUUAAAGAGAAUUUACCUCAAAAUCGGGACAGUAUGCACGGACUCAUACCUACUGGAGACCAUGAACCAUGCUGGGGCAGCAGCUCAGUGCUGGAACAGCUUUCCAGGAGUUUCAAAAGGACUUUCUGAAUUUAAAGAGCAUGUCACCAGAAUACAAUACAGGAAUACAUCUUAGCAUUUGACCUUAUGACUAAACACUUCACAAUUACAGAUCCUGGGAUCUUAGGUAUCAGUUUUUCUGUCUGCUUUCAAUAUGAGUGGAUAUUGCUGUUGCUCCUCUGUGGGACCUGCAGUACUUUGCAGAUGAGUCUUCAGGGCUGGUGAGAUUUGCUGUGAAUGACUAAAACAUGCACUGGACAAUAGUGUAUUAGUCAGACCUUCUUCCAGCAAAGUAACUUCAUUCCAUUUACCUAAGGCUGGGACACAGUGCUCUGUGCAAGGGAAUGGACUCUCACCUGUGGAUGGACAGAUACCAGACUGCCUUCUCUGCUCAUUAAGGUCAUUAUUAGCAAUUUUUGUUCCAAUGAAAGACCUAGAAAUUCUCAUAUUUCUCUUAAAACCCAGUGGAGUACAUCUGUUCCUAAAUUUAUAGGGAAG
rnacentral:lncRNA from 1 species